GAUGAACGCUAGCGGCAGGCUUAAUACAUGCAAGUCGAGGGGUAGCAAGAUUGUAGCAAUACAAUUGUUGACGACCGGCAAACGGGUGCGGAACACGUACACAACCUUCCUACAAGUGGGGAAUAGCCCAGAGAAAUUUGGAUUAAUACCCCGUAACAUAGCGAUGUGGCAUCACAUUGCUAUUAUAGCUUCGGCGCUUGUUGAUGGGUGUGCGGCUGAUUAGAUAGUUGGCGGGGUAACGGCCCACCAAGUCUACGAUCAGUAGCUGAUGUGAGAGCAUGAUCAGCCACACGGGCACUGAGACACGGGCCCGACUCCUACGGGAGGCAGCAGUAAGGAAUAUUGGACAAUGGACGCAAGUCUGAUCCAGCCAUGCCGCGUGAAGGAUUAAGGCUCUCUGGAUUGUAAACUUCUUUUAUAAGGGACGAAAAAAGGUCUUUCUAGAUCGUCUGACGGUACCUUAUGAAUAAGCACCGGCUAACUCCGUGCCAGCCGCCGCCGUAAGAC
rnacentral:rRNA from 1 species